rfam:Schistosoma haematobium scaffold90_19, whole genome shotgun sequence.
AUUCAACUGAGGAGUCCCAAAUAGGAUGAAACACGAAUCCUAGAU